UUGCUUAUCUUCAAAUACUUCCUUCUCACUACUCAAAGUGUCUGUGUUCUCACUUUCUGAGUCAUUUUCAGUAUCUUGAGACCCCUCUGACAUUUCCUCUUCAGACUGGACUCCAAGACAUUUAAAUCGCCACAUUGCAUUAUAAAUGGUUUUGAUCCGAGAAGCUGCAUGAGCAGUUAUCCAUUUAAAAAUGUGCUCUACUUCAAUCUUGCGUCCACUGUAUUCUUUAAGCAUGACUUUCCCUUUUGAAGUACUUGUUUGUGGAACAGACAUAAUGAGUGUGGAUCGGACCCAGCCUCUUCUCCUGCAAUAUCUAUGAGAGAGGAAACUUCAUCAAAAGAAGAGAAAAAUGACCCUGAUUAAGCAUAGCUUCUAUGGCAAGAAAGAGUUCUUAUUCCAGUAGGAGGACUUUCCAAAUGAGGAGUCAUGGACACAUUAUUGGAACUGGUACAAGUCACUGUGCAACAAAAUCAUUUUCUGAUGAAGUUGAGUAGAAGUACUUUUUUAAAAUAACAAAAACUACAGCUACAAUCAACAAAAAAGCAAAAAGUUAUGCAAAAAAACAUUGUUUUAAUUGUAAAUAAGAGAGACUAUACGUAAAAUGGACCUGGAAAAGCUUGAAAAUGUGAAGAGGAUUGAACUGGCUGGCAUCUGUGCAUCUUCAUCUAUGAAAACACUCCUCAUAGACUUAAAACAAAUGACAGAGAAUAAAUUAGUCAGCUUCUUCU